rnacentral:rRNA from 1 species
AGCGAACGCUGGCGGCAGGCCUAACACAUGCAAGUCGAACGAACCUUUCGGGGUUAGUGGCGGACGGGUGAGUAACACGUGGGAACGUGCCUUUAGGUUCGGAAUAACUCACGGAAACUUGUGCUAAUACAGAAUGUGCCCUUCGGGGGAAAGAUUUAUCGCCUUUAGAGCGGCCCGCGUCUGAUUAGCUAGUUGGUUGAGGUAAUGGCUCACCAAGGCGACGAUCAGUAGCUGGUCUGAGAGGAUGAUCAGCCACAUUGGGACUGAGACACGGCCCAAACUCCUACGGGAGGGAGCAGUGGGGAAUCUUGCGCAAUGGGCGAAAGCCUGACGCCGCCAUGCCGCGUGAAUGAUGAAGGUCUUAGGAUUGUAAAAUUCUUUCACCGGGGACGAUAAUGACGGUACCCGGAGAAGAAGCCCCGGCUAACUUCGUG